rnacentral:misc_RNA from 1 species
GAAUUAUGUCUAUACAUUACGGAUCUAUCUAUGAAACCUCUAACAUGACUGAGUAACGUCUAGCGAAACAAGGACACAACACAUCUUAAGCAAACUAACAUGAAAUGCUGAAAUCGUAUACACAAACUGAACAAAUAUAGUUUCCUCUACAACUAGAGGGAUGAGAAUAUUGGGACACCUGGUAAAGUAGCUCCAGCAUCUACGAUGAAAAUGUUGCCUGAAACAUAUUCUGAGGAAUCGUGGAUUAAAUAACGUACCAUUGAAGUCAAAGCGGGAUUUGAUGUUCCAUGUGUUCUCAAGGGAAUGGUUUUCAAUGCAACAGUUUUAAACCAGUCCUUUUGUAUGAGGCGCUCUGUUAUCUCAGAUUUGAAAACUCCCGGUGAUACUGAGUUCACUCUGAUCUUGUAUGG